UGUGUCCAGAGAAGAAACGUUCGAGGAGCUUGGAGCACAGUCAGCCUGAUGCUGAGGAGAAGGGCUGUGCAGCAGAGAGGCUGGUUAGUUUGUUCAUCCUGCUGCAGUGGAAGAACAUCGUUCACCUGCUGCGUUUGUCUUCAGCAGCUCCACAGACAUGGCGCUCUGCCUCUUUUUCAUUUUAUCGCACUUUAUAGCCAUGGCUUCCAUGAACAGCAUAAAACCACAAAGUACUGAAGAAGCUGUUGCAGAGGGAGGAAACAUCACCCUGACCUGUAAAUAUGAGGGUGUUAUCAACAACAUCCAGUGGUACCAACAGUACCAGAGAUCCAGACCAGAGUUCCUGCUCUACAUCACAGAGGGAGAAUGGAUUCCUCCGGCUCAGUCUGAUUUCUCAGCUCACAUUAACUCAAAGGAGAAACGUGUGGAUCUGCAAAUCGUCUCAGCUAAAUUGUCUGACUCUGCUGUGUACUACUGUGCUCUGCAGCCCACAGUGACAGGAAACACCAGGACUCUGUACAAAAACCUCUGGAGCAAACACAAC